UAUGUCAGUUAGCACUAAGUCAUAUGUUUGUUUUUCCUUUCUGCUAUUUCCCCUCAGGGGUCACCACGGCAAGUUGCUCCAUGAUUCGUACAUGUAAUUUGGCUUCAUUUUUAGGUCGGGUGCCCUCCCUGACCCAACUUUCAGCAUUUAUUUGGACUGGGGACCAUCACAUGGAAACACUGGGAAAUUCCUCCACUGAGAGACGCUUAAUGUUUUCGUAUUGCUCUUGAGAUAUCUGUGGGCUCCUUGCUGUGGUGUGGCAUGCUGACAUUCCCUCCACACCCACACUGGCAGCCAAUGUGCCAAUUAGUGGCCUUCUCCACAGGGGUGUAUGAGAGGUGGAGAACACAGAAGAACCAGAAACAGAGGAGAAAGAGCAAGGUACAAUUAAAGGGAUGUCCCUCCCCUGGCUCCCCUCUUUGGUGGACCACAUCAACGGAAGUCCUGGAGCAGAUGGAAGCUCUAAUGACGGGAGGGAGGCCAGGUCGCGACCCUGGUGUGCCACCUCAGCGCCACACCCUUCCUCUUUCGGUCGAGACAAAGUUUACACCAGGAAAAGAGGAGGGAAAAGAGUACAUGGAGUUGGCAAACUGUUUGGAGUUCCAGAAGAUCUGGAAAGCUAAUUGAGAAGCAGACAUAGAAGUUACUGUCAUGCUAAAAAAAAGUCUUAUUUUGUUUCCGUUAGUGCGCUUUUUAACUUCCCAUAAAAGCAAACGGAUGACUUCAUUGUGAUCUUUGUGGAAAGUCGCUCACUAAUGUCCUGUCUUAGCUUUUUUUUUAAUAUUGUUAAGUUCAGACUGAAAAAUGAACUGUAAGUGCGCUACGGGCCGACAUUAAAGUAAAGUCUGAGUUUAUGGAGGGAAAUGGACUCCACAGAAGGUUUGGGUAUCUUUGUGUCUCUUAGUACGUAGUAAGACAGUACCGUGGUCUUCCUGCAUCAGACAUCCAAAUGCGAUGGAGAGGCUCGGAUAAUGAUAUGUCUGUCUGUCAUCCCUCUAGAUUUGCUUUCCACUUGUGAGUGAGAUACAGCACGAGAUGUGUGGGGGUGGUAAAGUGUGUGUGUGUGAAGUGAAUGCUGUAUCUAGCUCAGUAUUAGAAUGGCAUACAAGUGGGGUGGUCAUGCGUGCGUGUGUGACAGGGGUCCCCGCAGAUUAUAGCCGAUGAUGAGCAUCUCCUCUCAGCUUGGAAACGCUGUAAUUGUCACCUCGCUCGAGUAGGGGAGGUGGGAGCGGAAACACAUCACUCUGAAAUGCAGCAGUUGAAAAGAAGAAAAGUAUAAAGAUGGGCAACAAAGUAAAGAGCGGAUGAAGAGAGGAAAACGGUGGUGCUGAUUAACUUCUUGGUGGAUGUUCUCAGAGGAACACAGCAAACAUUCUGCUAAGUUUUCAUGAGUGUCCCAUUGUAAUUAAAGUGAUUAAGCAACAGCUUUAGUUAAAUGCAAUCAACACUUUCCACAUUUUUUAUAUUGUUAGUGUAAAUAUGACCAAUAGUGAGUUUCAUAUCUUCUUUGAGGGCAAGUUUCAUUUCAGUAGUUUUCUUAGCAGCUGUACAGGAGUGGUCUUCAACAAUUGACUC